UGCGUCAUAGUUCAAUGGAAUAGAAUGCUUGGCUACGAACCAGGGGAUGAAGGUUCGACUCCUUCUGACGCAA
rnacentral:tRNA from 1 species